UGGACCCUGUAGGUUUUAACCUGAAUUUCUUCAGUAUUUGCCCUCGUGUAUAAUAUAUGCUAGGCAUAAUGCAGAUACCUACAUGAUACAUUUUUUUUUUUCAUUACCCACUCUGCUACUCUCACAAUGUAUAAUAAAAUAUUCGAUUCAUUUCUAACACAUGUAUGCAAUCCCUUACCUUAUCUUUAAAUAAAUUUGAGUAAAUAAAUUUAAGUGCGAAACUGUUCCAUGCUACCGUGAAACUUAGAUUUUGCUUUUUAAACAUAAACCAACAAUUCUUAAUUGUAAUUUCUUUUCUUCUUUAAAAAGGGUAUUGACAUCCCAAUAUUUAGUGGGAAGUUCCCAGGUAUCAUCCGCUAGCAACAGUCUACUGACAAAUCCAGACAUGCAUUGGAAGGAUGCUGAUGUGGAGGACACCGGAACACCUGAUCCCAGAACUGUGGCAUUUCAUUCGGGGUGACAACCUGCCUUUCAGUUGGUAUGACUCUUUGAGGUUGAAUAUAGGGUUUAAUCAGUAUAAAUUUGAUUAACAUUCAAAUAAAUCCAGAUAAUACAUUCACAAUUGGAAUCAUGGCAUUAUGGUACACUGAUAUGUGUGUACCAUUUUACUGGGUUUUUUUGUUUUUGUUUUAAUUUUUUUUUGCUGCAUAACUAGGGAUCGUAUACAUACAAAAUGAGAUAAUUUCUAAUUAGUUUCUAAUUAUAAGGUAUGCCACGUUUUAAGGUAUGGUGGCCAAUACUGAUUUUAUUUGCAAUUUUCUUUCAGAUAUGGGACCCUAUUAUUCGGAGAACUGCAGAUUUUAUGAAGCUGUUUUUGACAGAAGAUUUGGUUUUCUCCAUCUGUGUUGCCACCAACCAUUAUUCUGAGAUAGUCAUAUCUAGGGGGAAGGGUUGCCAUAUACUUCCAAAGGAAGUUUGCAACCUCUCACUGAAGAGGAACUGUACAGAUUUUUGUGCAUUAUCUUAUACACGCCUGCUGUGAAGUUCCAGUCGAUAGACAGAUAUUGGUCAACGCAUGCCCCUGUCGGAACAACUCGUUAUCAAGAAUUAUGUCUAGAAAUAGGUUUCAAGAGGUUGAAUAUCAGAACAUUUUUGUUAAAUAUGAUGCAAGUACAUUUAAAUCUAGUGAUUGAAAGUAAGUACUUGAACAUUCGUUUAUGUUGAACUUGGAGAGGAAAAAUGGUUAGUACUUUUUGAUAACAUUUGAUAAGGUGUUGUUGCUUAGCAACCAAAUAUAAUUGAAUAAAAAAAAAAAAUAUUAUUUUAGAUUAACAAUAACUGAAAGAUCUUUGUUUUAAUGUUGCAAUACUUAUUCUAUUUAAUGGAACAUAAUGGCAAAACGUCAUAUUAUUAGAAAAUGAUGGACAAGUAUAUAAAGUACGAAGUUUCCAUUUAAUGACCUUUGACCUUAAUUAAUUCUCUUCAUUAUAUUUUUUGUCAAAAACCUUUUAAAAUGAUUAAGAUCUAUUUAAAGAUUAUAUUUUUAAAAUAAUGUGACAUUUACUAAUCAUCAUGGAUUGUAAUUACGUUUAAAUUGUGUCUAAUGGAUGCAGAAAGGCAAAUUAUGGUCAAAAUUGUACUAUGAGUGUUGUUACUUAGCAACCAAAAAUAUUUGUUUGUCAAUAAAAUUGAUUAGUUUGA